rnacentral:rRNA from 1 species
GGAAGUUGACGGGGCCCGCACAAGCGGUGGAGCAUGUAGUUAAUUCGAAGCAACGCGAAGAACCUUACCAGGUCUUGACAUCCCUGACAACCCGAGAGAUCGGGCGUUCCCCCUUCGGGGGACAGGGUGACAGGUGGUGCAUGGUUGUCGUCAGCUCGUGUCGUGAGAUGUUGGUUAAGUCCCGCAACGAGCGCAACCCUCGACCUUAGUUGCCAGCAUUCAGUUGGGCACUCUAAGGUGACUGCCGGCUAAAAGUCGGAGGAAGGUGGGGAUGACGUCAAAUCACCAUGCCCCUUAUGACCUGGGCUACACACGUGCUACAAUGGGCGGUACAAAGGGUCGCGAACCCGCGAGGGGGAGCCAAUCCCAAAAAGCCGCUCUCAGUUCGGAUUGCAGGCUGCAACUCGCCUGCAUGAAGCCGGAAUCGCUAGUAAUCGCGGAUCAGCAUGCCGCGGUGAAUACGUUCCCGGGCCUU